GUCGUCAGCUCGUGUCGUGAGAUGUUGGGUUAAGUCCCGCAACGAGCGCAACCCCUAUUGUUAGUUGCCAUCAUUCAGUUGGGCACUCUAGCGAGACUGCCGGUAAUAAACCGGAGGAAGUGGGGAUGGACGUCAAAUCAUCAUGCCCCUUAUGACCUGGGCUACACACGUGCUACAAUGGUUGGUACAACGAGUUGCGAGUCGGUGACGGCGAGCUAAUCUCUUAAAGCCAAUCUCAGUUCGGAUUGUAGGCUGCAACUCGCCUACAUGAAGUCGGAAUCGCUAGUAAUCGCGGAUCAGCACGCCGCGGUCGAAUACGUUCCCGGGCCUU
rnacentral:rRNA from 1 species